AACGUAGGUGGCAAGCGUUGUCCGGAAUUACUGGGUGUAAAGGGAGCGCAGGCGGAGCGGCAAGUUGGAGGUGAAACCCAUGGGCUCAACCCAUGAACUGCCUUCAAAACUGUCGGUCUUGAGUGGUGUAGAGGUAAGCGGAAUUCCCGGUGUAGCGGUGGAAUGCGUAGAUAUCGGGAGGAACACCAGUGGCGAAGGCGGCUUACUGGGCACUAACUGACGCUGAGGCUCGAAAGCAUGGGUAGCAA
rnacentral:rRNA from 1 species